CCUGCGGGGGAGUCGGCUCCCAACCCGGAGGACUCCGGCCCGCCGACCCGCCUGCGCCCUCUUUCCGCCCCCGGAAUCCGACGCAGUCUCCCCGCGGAGCCUCCCCCGUGCGGCGCCCGAUCCGGACGCGGCGGAACGGAGCUGUCCGUGGUCCCCGCCUGGGCGAGGGGACGGAGCCCCUGUCCCGCGUGCUGGAGCGCAGCCCGGGAGCCGGUGCCAUCACGGGGCGCGGAGGUAAUGUCCUUGGAUGGACAACGGAUUCAUUCUACUGUCACUCGUGAUAGGCAGACGUCAGGCCACCUCCUUACCAACUCCUGUCCUUGCUGCGCGCUCCGAGACUGGGAGGGCCCCAAGGGCAGGAGCAUAUGAAGGCGAGGCCCACCCAAAGCCACAGAGAGGAGCCUGGGAGCACUCCCUCUUGGAUGGUGCCUGAGCCCCUGCACCCUGACGGAUCUGCUCUCCCCUGCUAGAACCUGUGACCUGGCAGAGCUUCUGACCACAACCUCACAUCUCCUGAUGGGGCGGCCAUCGAGCACUGGAGCUGGGUCCCUCCUCCCAGACUGGGAUAUCCUGACUCAGUUUCCCCACGGAACUCCCCCUUGUCCAGAGCUGGGACAGAGGGGACAGCAGUCCGUUUCUCCCGAGAGUGAGAACACCUUGACCACAGGAGGCCCUGUCCAGUCCAGCCACGCUGGCCCUGUACUCCUCUGGGUGCCCCCAUCAGUCCAACUUCCCCUUCUACGUGGAAGAGAAAAGCCCCUUCCUGUCUGAUUUGAGAUGCUUGUACCUCUUGGAUCAGUUUAUUGUCACCUGAGUCAAGUUUCUCCUUAUACCAAAUCCAGAUCUGUUCGCUAUUAGACAGACAUGCAUUUACCUUUGGAACCCACUGCCUCUGGAGAGCUUGGUGCUCCUGGGAGUUGGAACUAUUUAAGAAGCAAAUUUCGGGGCGCCUGGGUGGCUCAGUAGGUUAAGUGUCUGCCUUCAGCUCAGGUCAUGAUCCCAGGGUCCUGGGAUGGAGCCCCACAACAGGCUCCUUGCUCGGCGGGGAGCCUGCUUCUCCUUCUGCCUGCUGCUCCCCCUGCUUGUGCUCUAUCACUCUCUCUGACAAAUAAAUAAAAUCUUUUAAAAA